AUGUUGGAAGAGGUUUUUGUACCAGCAGUAUCACUGUGGUACACUUUUGGUAGCGGCACCAGACUAGAUGUUGGAAGUAACAGUGCUCCCACCCUCACCGUCCUGCCCCCAUCUAGUGAGGAGCUGUCCAGUACAACAACAGCCACACUGACGUGUCUGGCCAACAAGGGCUUCCCCUCAGACUGGACCAUGAGCUGGAAAGUGGACGGGACCAGCAAGAAGCAGGAGGCCAGUACCGGGGUCCUGGAGAAGGGCGGUCUGUACAGCUGGAGCAGCACCCUGACUCUCACUGCCCAGGAGUGGACCAAGGCAGGAGAGGUGACCUGUGAAGCCCAGCAGAAAUCUCAGACUUCAGUCACCAAGACCCUGAGGAAGGCUGACUGUUCUGGGUAGGACCCACCAGUCACACACCCCUGUGGAGAGAGAUUGCUGGUUCCUCUGCUUUGACUUGCUUCGUUCUCUGAUUUAGUGAUCGCUCUCGUAUUGAAUAACAGGGGGCUUGGCUUGAGUUCAUGUGUCAAUCCAAUCUGUAGACUGAGAUUUUGUUCGUUUUAGAUUUGAUGUGAUCUAUUUUAUUCACUAUCAUGUUUGCUUUGAUGCUUCAAUUAUGUAAUAAUGGAUUCAAAUAAAGAUGUAUUUU